CAACACUACGCCAGUUGCCCAUAUUCUGUCCAGAGUGUGAUACGAUUCUAUUUCCCUUCAGUCCCGAUGAGGAUCGACAGGAUACUCGUCCUGCUUCAUCUCAGGAGGCCUCAGCUGCAGGAAAUAGACCAGGCAUCGGUCAUUGGAGCUUUUCCAGUGUGAGUUCAUGUCUUUGAUGUUAACAUGCUGUGUGUGACAAAUGAGCAAACAAAAUGUUUUGCCCCCACUGAUAUGUCAUAUAAGUUUUAUUCAGAUACAACACAAUACAGGGAAUACAUGUGUUUUGAUCUUUUUUGUGUCUUGCAAUCCUGUAGACUGUUCUAUUUCCCCACACCCCCAAUGAGGAACAAGAGGACACUCAUCCUGCUUCAACUGUGAGUACAUAUUGUACCACUAUUUUUUUAUUAUUACUAUUGUACUCCCCUCGUGGUGGCGCAGUGACUCAAUCUGGGAGGCGGAGGACGAACCUCAGUUGCCACCGUG